rfam:Paenalcaligenes hominis strain 15S00501, complete genome.
CUGCUAUCCGCUAACCGGUGAAGCCGUGUCGCGGAAGGUUUUCCUGCAUCAAGAUGGGUGAAGCAUCCAUAUAGGUGAAGCG